rnacentral:rRNA from 1 species
AGAGUUUGAUCAUGGCUCAGAUUGAACGCUGGCGGCAGGCCUAACACAUGCAAGUCGAGCGGUAACAUGUCUAGCUUGCUAGAUGAUGACGAGCGGCGGACGGGUGAGUAAUGCUUGGGGAUCUGCCUUAGAGUGGAGGAUAACCAUUGGAAACGAUGGCUAAUACUGCAUAGUAUCUGCGGAUUAAAGGGGGCUUAGGCUCUUGCUUUAAGAUGAACCCAAGUGGGAUUAGCUAGUUGGUGAGGUAAUGGCUCACCAAGGCGACGAUCCCUAGCUGGUCUGAGAGGAUGAUCAGCCACACUGGAACUGAGACACGGUCCAGACUCCUACGGGAGGCAGCAGUGGGGAAUAUUGCACAAUGGGCGAAAGCCUGAUGCAGCCAUGCCGCGUGUGUGAAGAAGGCCCCAGGGUUGUAAAGCACUUUCAGUCAGGAGGAAAGGUUAGUAGUUAAUACCUGCUAGCUGUGACGUUACUGACAGAAGAAGCACCGGCUAACUUCGUGCCAGCAGCCGCGGUAAUACGAGGGGUGCAAGCGUUAAUCGGAAUUACUGGGCGUAAAGCGAGCGUAGGCGGCUGAAUAAGCUGGAUGUGAAAAACCGGGGCUCAACCUCGGCCGUGCAUUCAGAACUGUUUAGCUAGAGUCCUGUAGAGGGGGGUAGAAUUUCA